ensembl:snoRNA
CACCCCUGGCAAUGGGCAAAGAGGCACCUUGUUUGUGGUGGUGUUCUUAUAUCAGUCAGGAGCAAAGCAGAUGACAGUCCUUCGAUCAUCUUAGCUUGAUGCCUGGCUUGGUGGCAAAAGCUGUUUCAUGCCUAGGGCACAUUA